GAGAGUGUGGCUCAGUGGUAGAGUACUCACUUAGCAAGUGUGUGUCCUGGAUUCAGUCUCCAGCAGUGCCA
rnacentral:tRNA from 1 species